rnacentral:lncRNA from 10 species
CGCCAGCUCGGCACUUGUACCCGGGACCUGUGCUCCUCCCACAAGAAAUUAAAUCAUUUUUGGGAAGCCCUCAAGGUACCAUAAGCUCUGGGCAGUGUGCCUAAGACUUCUAAUGGAGAAUUUAGCCCUGUGCAGAUGAUAUUGCAGAGGAGGAAUGCUUAGUUAAUUUAGUUCCAGGAUACCUGUGCAGGACAUGACAUGCAGGUUUGUCAUAAGGAAAAAAUUGGACACGGAGAUAAGGACAGAGGAAAGAUGAUGUGAAGACAGGGGCAGAAGUCAGCCAUCUACAAGUCAAAGGGAGACAUGUGGAACAGAUUCACCCUCACAGCCCUCAGAUGGAAGCAACACCACUAACACUUUGCUCUUGGACUUCUAGCUUCCAGAACUGAGAGACAAUAUCUUUCUGUUGCUUAAGUCAUUCUGUCUGUGAUACUGUGUUUAUGGCAGCCCUGGCAAACUAAUACAGUCCCACAAAGAUUUGGUUGUUGCUUUGCAAGAGAAUGUAUAAUUCCUGGUUAUUUCUACAAAUAAGGGCAUUGACUUUAUAAAGCUACAAGUAUACCCCAGUAUUCUGUUUCUGGUUUUUGUUUACUUUCAUAUAUGCUAUCUUUUCAUUCCCAGGUGAAAUCAUAGUGCAUUUUAAAUGAUAUUUUAAAGAGCAAUUAUACUCGUCAUAUGUACUUCAAAUAAUACUGAUUCCUCAAUUGAAGUAAUGGUAACAUGAGUGUAUUAGUUAAUUUUUUCUGAAUAACUAGUUACCUCCAAAGUUCAUGCCUUCAAGCAACACAUAUUCAUUAUUUCACAGCUUCUUUGGGUCAGGAGUCUUGGCAUAGCUUAGCUGAGUCCUCUGGCUCCUGGCGUCCCAGGCUGUAAUCAAGGUGGUGGCCAGGACUGUAGUCAUGUCAGGGCUCGCCAGGGAAGGAUCUGCCUCCAAGCUAACCAGUGUGGCUUUUGGCAGAAUAUAUUUCUAUGCAGGUUGUUGGACUGAGUUUCUUGCUGGCUGUUCCAGAGGUUCCCUUAGCAUCUUGUCGUGUGGCCUCUUCAUAGGUCAAUUCAUAUUGGCUUCAUCAAAGUGAGCAGGUAAGAUAGCAAAAGAGAAUGCCCAAGAUAGAAGCCAUAGUCUUUUUGUAAUCUAAUCUUAGAAGUGACAGCCUGUUAUAUUUGCUAUAUUCUCUUUGUUAGAAACAAGUUUCUAGGGCUGGGCAUGGUGGCUCACAUCUGUAAUCCCAGCAUUUUGGGAGGCCGAGACAGGCAGAUCACCUGAGGUCAGGAGUUCGAGACCAGCCUGGCCAACAUGGCGAAAUCCUGUCUCUACUAAAAAUACAAAGCCGAGUGUGGUGGCGCAGGCCUGUAAUCCCAGCUACUUGGGAGGCUAAGGCAGGAGAAGCACUUGAACCUGGGUGGUGGAGGUUGCAGUGAGCCAAGAUUGUGCCACUGCACUCCAGCCUGGGUGACAGAGUGAGACUCCAUCUCAAAAAACAAACAAACAAAAAACCAAAUUACUAGGUUUGUCUCAUUCUCAAGGGAAGAGUUUACUCAAGAGAAUAAAUACCAGGAGGUUGGGAUCACUGGAGGCCAGUUUAGAGUCUGCCUACCAAUAGGAGCAAGGCCAUCAAUGUCAGUCAGUGACAUCAACAUCAUGUAGACUGCUUGGCCAACAGUAAUGCUAAAAUGCCAUCAAUCUUGAGAUCAUCUUCAUCUCAUAAAUAUUAACAUGUAAAAAAAGUCAUUUUAAAGUAAAGAAAAUAUGUUAUUUUUUAACAUUUGAAACAGCCCCUGAAGUCAUGUUUUAGAACAUUUUCUCAUCAUUUUUUGUGUGACUUUUAUAAUAUCUUUUAUAUUAUAUGUUAUAAUAGGGAAUAAAGAAAGUAAAAUAACUCCAAAUCAAAUUUUGAGCACUUACCAAUUAUUAAAUCAUUUAAACAGUCAGGAAAUGGAUACUACUGUGUUCUAGAAAUGGGUACCAACUCUCAAAAUGUUUCACAUACUCAUGGAAAUAACAUGGCUUUAAUGGAAGGGCUUAGGGAGUUCUGCUUCAAGCUGGCUGAUCAGAAAAAGGAGAAGCCUCAGAAAGGAAGUGGGAUCUGUACAUGCACCCAGGAAGCACAGCUUUAGUGUCAAUGGAGAAGUUUCGAAUAGCAAAAUUCUCCACUGAACUUGCUGAAAGCACGAGAGGAGAAAGAAGCAUUUGCAGGCCCAGAUGAUACCUAAGAGAGGACUGUGCAUUGCUUUUCAACCUCCACAUGUCAGUACUCAAGGGAUAAGCUGAAUUUUAAAAAUUUACUUUUGUAUUUGUUUCAUUGUAUAUUACUACCUGUUCACUAUAGCUAAUUGGGAAACUUACAAAAAUUAGAAAUAAUAAGAUUCCUCUUUCCCCAAAGUCACCACUAUCCUGAAUUUUAAAACUAGAGCUUACUUUUGCAAUCUUGACACUUUAUUUCACUACCGUCAUAUAGUAUCCUUCUGUGUCUCAGUCCUUUUUCUUUUUUUGACAUUGUUAUGAAGUUCAUCCAUGUUGUUGCAUGGGCUAAGGCUCAUUUUUAUUGCUGAAUAAUGUCAUAUUGUAUGAAUGUACUAAAUAUUCUUAGUCAUCCUUCUGUUGAGGGUAUUUGUGCUGUUUCCAGUUAGGACUUUCACAAAUCAUGGUUUCAUGAACAUUCUUUGUGAUGGCUAAUAUCAGGUGUCAACUUGAUUAGAUUGAGGGAUGCCUAGAUGGCUGGUCAUUGUUUCUGGGUGUGUCUGUGAGGGUGUUGCCAGAGGAGAUUGAUAUUUGAGUCAGUGGACUGGGAGAGGAAGAUCUCAUGCUCCUCAAUGUGAGUGGGAACCAUCCAAUCCAUGGCCAGCAGUCCUCUCUCAGACAAAAACAAAGCAGGUGGAAGAAGGUGGGAUAAGUUGGCUUGCUGAGUCUUCUGGCUUUCAUCUUUCUCCUGUGCUGGAUCGUUUUUGUCCUUGGACAUCAGACUCCAUGUUCUUCCGCCGUUGGACUCUUGGACUUACAGCAGUAGUUUUGCUGGGGGCUUUUGGGCCUUUGGCCACAGACUGAAAACUGCACUGUCAGCUUCUUUGGUUUUGAGGCUUUUGGACUCAGACUGAGGCACUAUUGGCUUCUUUCUUCCCCAGUUUGCAGAAGUCAUAUUGUGGACUUUGCCUUGUGAUCGUGUGAGCCAAUUCUUCCUAAUAAACUCUCUUUCAUAUAUACAUAUAUCCUAUUAGUUCUGUUCCUCCAGAGAACCCUGACUAAUAUACUCAUAGAUAUGCUUUUUGGUACACGAUUUCAAGCAUAUAUUUGGUGUAAACCUAAGAGUGAGAUUGUCACAUCACAGGACUUUCAAAUGCUCAACUUGAAUGGUUAAUGUUGAACUGCUUUCCAAAGAAGUGAGGCCAACUCAUACCCUACCAGUCAUGUUUCUCUGUUUUUUUUUCAAAGAUUUUGGUAGUAUCAGUCUUUGCAAUAUUAGCCAUUUUGUUGAGUAGGUAGUAGUGUGUCAUUUUGGUUUUCACUGGAUUUUGUGAUGACAAAUGAAGUUGAACACUUUUACUUAGCUAUACUUUCAGUUUAGUUUACUUGUAAUUAGUUACAGUGUUUAAUGGCUGUUUGGGUCUCUUCUUUCAUGAAGUGCCUAUUCUUGUCUUUUGCCUAUUGUUUCCUAUUGGCUUGUUUGCAUUUUUGUUAGUGAUUUCUAAAAAGUCUCUAUAUAUUUGGGAUAAGUGGCUGUGACUCAGUUUUAUAACGUAUAAAAUAGAAAUAAUAAUGCUCCCCACAUAUGACAUUGUUAUGAGGAGUGUAUUAGUUAAUACACAGAAAAGCUUCAAGCCAAAUGUGGCACAGAGUAAGUGCUCAGUAUUAUUGUGCUUAGCCGAAAGAACACUGCUAAGAACUGUGGACACAGAAAUCCAAAGAGGCCUUCUAACUUCCAUUCAACACAUUUUGCCUUGCACAACAACUUCUCAGAAGUUCUGAAACUCACUAUACUUGCCCCUAAUUGUGCCCCAGUACUAGCUUUAGUGAGAAGUACUGUGAUAAUUUUGUUACAAUCCCAACACUAUUUUUUAAAAUUGUAUUUUUCCUUGUAGAAGAAGGCAGUUUUCAAGCUGCAAAUUGAUAGGGAAGCACUUAUUCUCACAGGCACUGCAUGGUACAAUUGGCAUUUAGCAUGUUCAUUGCAAAAGUUUUAAAAGAAUAGCACUGCAGCAGGAGAAAGAGGAAGACAACGACAAUAACAACAACAACAAAGCAAAGUAAAAACUACUCCCUGAAUGCAGAAAUAAAAUGUAUUAAAAAUUAAAGGGUGCACAAUGGGAGCAAUUAAGUGUUUUAGGCCAAGUGCCCAUUCUUGCCUCAUCCAAAUUCCCUUGGUUCACUGGCCACAUUUAAGAAAAAAGGGACAAUUUUUAUCUUCUGCCCUAGUGAAAAUUGUUUUGCUCCCAGUAGCCAGACAAUAAAAAUUUCCUAUAAACAAAUAAACACACUUUAAUCACCGUGGUUAUUCUCCUUCUAUCAGUGGAAUUUUCACAGAUAAAGUUUGUUGAGGAGGAUAGAAAAACCACAAUUUAGGCCUUUGAAACCAAAAAUGACAGAAAAAUCUUUCAUUUAUUAUUCCUCGUGGACAAUAGCUCUUAAUAUCUUCCUUCUAGGUUUCUUAAUUAAAUUCAGCUUCUUAUAUUUUUCUCUUGAUUCACCCACUUUCAUUCCCAGAUUAACCUAGAUCUUCAUAACUAUAAUUUCUCAACUGUAAAAUUUCAUUUACCUCAUUUAAAUUUCUGUAGAUUUCUCUCCCCAAGUGGAAAGUUUGAUUAUUCACUCUUUCACCUUUCUCCCCAGGCAAUAAAACUAUGCUGCUUAGACUAGUGCUAACUGAUUUAUAAACAGUCAAAUAAAUUGCAUUAUUCUGUAUAAUUCAUAUAUGUGUGAAUAUAGAGUGACUUUAGAAAGUGACAGUGAUAGUCCUAGCCUGUGAAGAAUGGCCACCAUCUUCAAAGAUCCUUCUGAAGCGUUAUCUUUUCCACACAAUCUCUGAUUUCUUCUUGGGGAAAGGACUAGUUUUCUCUUUCAAAUCCCCCAGCAUGUCUCCAAGGGCAUUAUAGUUGAUUAGUUCAUUUUUUCCUGAUCAUCUGCUCCCUGCAUCUCCAUAGAGGAUGAGACAUACCUGCCUCUUGCUAUAUGACUUUCAGUGGCCCCCUGUGCUUUUCUGUCACUGGUGCCAGGCUUGGCCAAGUGACAUUCUUCAGUCAACGGAAGGGGAGCAGAUUAGUUCCUUCUGAGAGGAAGUUUUCAAAGGCAUUAUAAGUUUUUACCAGCUUCAUUGCUCUUUUCCUGUGCCAAGUUCCUUCGGCUUGGUCCCAAGAAUGAGAAGGCACAUGGAACCAUGGGACCUGAGCUGUGGCCUCCUACAUGUGACAUGAGCAAGAAAGAAAUAUCUGAGGUUUGGGGGUCAUUGGUUACUUCAGCACUUAGCACUUUAUUGAAAUUGUUUGUUUGUUUGUCUUAUUCAAGGUGCAUUCAGGAAAUGCAUCUUCUUCGUUGGAUGUCUGCAUAGUCUGGAGCUUGGCAGUUGGUGGGAGCUAAUAAAUGUUUGUGGAAUAAGUGAAUGAUUCAAUGAAGAUCUCCAAUGAGAAGCAUCUAUUAUCUGCCAUGGCAAUUGUGCUGACUGGAGAAUGUUUCUUACCCUGAGCAGAAAUUGAAUCCUCCUGUACUUCCACUAUGGGUUUUAGUUAUAUCCCUUAGGCUCCUAUAAAACCGUCUAAUUCCUCAUCCAUAUGACAGCCCUCUAAUGCCUGAAAGCAGUGCUACUAUUCAUCUUAGGAUUUUAUCUUUGCAGAAUAGGUAUUCCCAGUCCUUAUCCAUUUUGGUAUCUCCCAUGGUUUUAAUGUCCUUGGUUUCCUGGGGGUCCUCUUUGCAGGUGCUCUUGAUGCAUGUCUCUCUUAGCACAUGGGAUCUGCAAUUAGCAUCAUUAUCCAUGUGUGGUCAGAGUAGCACAGGGUGAGGAAAGAGUGUCUCCUCCCUCUGUCUAGACAAAUUAUACUGAGUCUAACACAGCCUCCAGUUGCCUUCACUGGUCUUGGCAGCCCCAUCAUGCUGCUGACCCAUGUGGAGUCAACCAAAUCCCUUAAGUCUUUUCCAGGAGCCUUUAUUGUCAAGCUCUGCCUCAACUUGUGCAGGUGGUUUGGGGAAUCCAAAUGUAGAUCUUUAUACUUUUCCCUGUUUGCCUACUCCCCUCAUUUCAUCUAGUUACUGAUUUCUGUCUACAGUAUUUUGGGAAAUGAAGGCUUUGGUUUCUGGGAAAGGAAAUGCAGCAGGUAGUCCACACAAAGGAGAAACAACUGUGUCUUGUUAAUCCUGGUAUGGCUAGAGAGCUCCAUUUUCAGGUUCUGCAAUGUAUACUUCACUAUGUGAGGUAGCUCAUUUCUAGUACUGUACUGUCUUUGCUUGGUUUCUCAGGGGGAAUAGAAGAGUAGCAUCAAUAGCACACACCAACAAGAAGCUCUAUGUGUGACAUAUAGACUGACUGUAAGGUGUUCCCCAUAACCCCUGCUUCCCGGUAAUCAUGCUCUUUGAUUAUCCCCUUGGCUUGAGUAUAGACAUGUCCUGUAACUUGCUUCUAUCCAAUGGAAUAUGGCAAAGCCAAUGGGAUAUAUGUGAUUGCAUGUACAUAAUUAUAUUUGGUGUGAUUGUAACAUUGCUUCCUUGCUGGCUGUGAGGAGCAAGGUUCUAGGCUGUGAUCUGUUCCCUGGGAAGAGGCCACAUAGUCAGAAACUGAGGGCAACUUCUAGCUGACAGCUAGCAAGAAGCUAAGGCCCUCAACCUGACAGCUUGCCAGAAACAGGAUGCUAUCAACAACCAAAUGGGCCUGGAAAAUGAUGCUUUCCCAGUCCACCCUUGAAGUGAGGUUGCAGCACUGGCUGAUGCCUUGAUUGCAGCUUCCAGAUGAGACUCUGAGGCAGAUGAUUCAACAAAGCCAGGCCCGACUCCUGAUCCAUGGAAACUGUGAUAUA